GCUGAAUACAGAUCAUUUCAAUAAGCAAGGUAGGCUCACUUGGCUUGGCACCCAGGUAUUUCAUGUUAAUUUAAAUAAUUCUUAGAGUGUGUAUAUUUGAGGGUGUAUUUGUCAGUGUGUUUGGUGUGUAUUUUUUAAGUGUGUGUGUCAGUAUGGAGCAAUUUAUGGGUGUCAGUAUGGAUCAAUGUGUGUGUGUUUGUCAGUAUGGAUAAAUGUGUGUGUGUGUCAGUAUGGAUCAAUGUGUGUGUGUGUGUCAGUGUGGAUCAGUGUGUGUGUCAGUAUGGAUCAAUGUGUGUGUGUUUGUCAACAUGGAUCAAUGUGUGUGUGUGUGUGUUAGUAUGGAUCAAGGUGUGUGUGUCAUUAUGUAUCAAUGUGGGUGUGUGUGUUUGUCAGUAUGGUUCAAUAUGUGUUUGUCAGUAUGGAGCAAUGUGUGUGUGUGUGUGUGUCAGUAUGGAUCAAUGUGUCUGUGUUUGUCAAUAUGGAGCAAUGUGUGUAUAUGUCAGGGAGUAUGUAUGCAUUAGUGAUUGUGUGCCAGUGUUUGUAUGGGAUGCAGGAUUAAUUUUGUAAUGGAUCGCCUGGCACCCGACUGGGUACCUCCGUUGAAGGAUGCUCCUAGCACUUCCUGAGGGCUCCAAGCACUCCAGCAGACACCAUAACCACCGUAGUCUCCUUCAGAGAGCAAGAAAGGAACAAGCUCUUACAAGAGCUUAGUAGUGAUAUAGCAAGAGAGUAUGACUGGCAUAGCAAUCCCUUUUAGCAGAUUCAUCCAAUAAGAGACAGCACUCCAAAUGGAGGGUGAAGUAGAACUCAGAUUUUUAAUGACACACACUCUACUUUUAUGCAAUUCUCCCGUGCAAGGGAGACGCCCACAGACAAUUAUGAAUUACACAAUCACACACUGGUUACAUCCCACACAUCUCCUCCCCUUAGCCUGAGAGGUAACACAAUUAGCCGUACAGUUUGAAACAUACUUUUUACCCAACUUUCAUAACUCUAAAACUAUACAUCCAAUAUUAAUAAAUCAGCACAUAUUAUUAAUCAGCAUUUUUCAAAUACAAACAUACCCAAAAAUCAUUCGAAUCCGUUCAGACGUUCAGGAGAUAGAUAUAAGUCACCUUUGACCGACCGCAAGCACAAUUUCAUGCCCAAAACAGUUCCAGAGAAUCAGGCUGUGUGGCCGGUCUAUUUCCAAUGUUAAAGUCAGUUCAAACAGACGAACGACAACCAUUCGAAUUGUCGAACUGUUGAAUGAACUGUCGAAUGCAUUAGUUCCAGGGAAGGUAAAACUUCAGCGGUGUUCGUGCCGUUCUGUAGCCGAUUUUAGUUCCAUGAGUUUGGCUGCACACACCGCUGACUGCAUUCGAAUGAAUCAAAAUGGCCACCGCCACGUGUUCGAUUUUCUAAUGGCGGCCACUUCGGCACUUCGGCUGCAUCCGAAGUGCCAUGCCAAAACUGCAGGUCCUUUCCCAAAGUACUUAAAGGGCCAGAAACAGCACAAUAAAAAUCCAUUAUGCCCAAAUACAGUCCAAUACAAGUCCAUCGGCCCCAAAUCAGUUCCUUAAAGGGCAAUACAUCCCAGGGGCCAUAGUCACAUGGCAGGAGGCUGGCAAUCAGUCUUCUCCAAUGCCCUGUGGCGAGGUUGGUUUUGCCACAAGUUUGUUUG